GGUGAUGUGUCUUUGAUGUAGGAAAGACACACUCAAGUAUGCAGGAGAGAUGGGACAUCAGAGUUACAAGUAACUUGCUGAGGAUUCGGGGGGGGGGCGGUGUGAAAAAAAGGAAUUCUUUGUACCACUCUUGUAACUUCGGUCUAAGUCUCAAAUUAGUUCAAAAAGAGAGGACUUGGCAGGGAAGACAAUAGCUAAGCAUGUAAAUAAUUUACAAGGAAGGAGGAGAACAGAUUUCUGCAAAUAGAACCCCAGAAAACUCUUUUUUGUGGUGCCUCUGUUACACUUCGAUUGUCUGCUAUUCCAGGCACUGUAUACCAUUACCCAUCUCUCCUGCCUGGUUUAAGGGCUGACCCUAUGAAGCCACAAUUAUCUGGUCAAUGAGCCUCUGAGUUUCAUUUCCUGGGAAAGAUGGGCAGCAGUACCAGUUCAUAAUUCACUUAAAGCUGUUAUGGUGCACGGAAAAUUAAAAAGAUGACCGAAGAGGUUGCCUGCUUGCUUAGAGAAGUCUCUCAAAUUUGGACAUCAAAGACAUACCUCCCCAGUGAAAUUCCUAUACUAAAAUUUUAAAAAGGGCGGCUUUUACAUUUUAAAACACCACUGAUUUCACAGAAGCAUUGAGUGACCUCCUAUAGGUUAAUUUGGUAAAAGAGGAAGACAUCACAGGCAUCCCUUGCUGGGUAGCCACCACAGAAUGCACAUCUUAGACGCCCCCACACACCGAGCCCCAGUAGUCAAUUUCCAAAAAACUCUAUUUUCCACCAGCCCCUAAAAUUGUUCCAGCAACACGGGUUCCCAGCAUCGGUUCAUUUUGGAGCCUGAUGGAGUAACCACUCCCAAAGCCUUUCGGGGCUCCACAAAAGCCUGCCGUGAGUAAGCUGCGCUCUGUUUCUCAUUUGCAACUUUUCCUCAUUUGCAGAAGGAAGCCUGAAUGAACCUUCAGUUCUACUUGUUCCAGCCAGGCUGGAAACUGCAGUCACUGCGCUGACCUCAGAGAACCAAGCAGAGUACAUAUAACCAUUGUCCAGGGGAACAGCUAAGACUCUGUGCUCAAGGAAAGGGAAGCCAGUGGCUCAAAAACAAUUGCUUCCUUCUACAAAGACUGUACCAAGCAGCCAUCCGGGCUGCCCUCCACUGCUCACAGGCCUGCCCAGGCAAAGGCUCUGCAGCCGAAUCACAAGUUAAGAUCUUGUUGGGUUUGCUGGAAGCCCACUGAUGUCACAAGCACCGAGUCCCUUCCAGCCCCUGUGCUGUCAUUGCUCCCCAAGCUGCUGGGGCGGGGGACAGGGAGUUUCUGCCCCAAGGUUUCUUCAGCUGUUUUGCCUCGGCCUCAAGUAUUGGGUAACAGCAACAACAACAAAAAAAAGUAACUGAGACCACCUAUGGUGGGGCACACCUAUAACCCCUGAGAUAGAGGUAGGUGGAUGGAUUUCUGUGAGUUCAAAGUCAGCCUGGUCUACAGGGUGAGUUCCAGGACAGCCGGGGCAACAUAGUGUCUAGUUAAAAAAGUGACUAAUACAUUGGCUUAGUCACUGAUUUAGCUUCAAAAUUACUCCCUAAUCAAGAUUUCUCAGCCUCCCCGAAGAAAGCCCCCACAAAUCUGUGUACUCUAACAGUCAAGAAAUCUCCAUGAUCAAAACCAAUUCUGUCAUAGCGUAUGGCAAAAGCCAAAGGUUAAUAAAUAUUUUUAAAUAAAUAACAAGGAACUUAUUACAGUUGCCCCCUUAUCCAUUGUUUCCGUGGUUUUUACUAAAGGUCACACACUGUCUGAAAAUAUUAUUGGAAGUUCCAAAAAAAAAUUCAUACAUUUAAAGUAACUUAUUAUGCUAUAUGGUUAGAAUUGUUAUAUUUUAUUAUUAAUGUUGGGGUUUUUAUUGUUUGUGUGUAUGUGUGUGUAUCUUUGGGGAGGGUGGGGGUGCAGGUAACUUGCAAAAGCCAGGUGGCUGUAAGAUGUUGGAACCAAACUAGGGUCUUCUGGAAGAUCAGCAAGCACACUUAACUUCUGAGCCAUCUCUCUAGCAAUAGCUCUUAAUACCCUCUGGUAUCCUACUGUGCUGAAUUCAUAAUUAACUUCAGAGGUAUGCAUGCACAGGAAAAACAUAUGUGUGUGUGUGUAUAUAAGUAUAUGUAUAUGUAUAUGUACAUGUAUAUGUAUCAGCAGUUGCAAAGUAUCCCCAGUGAGUAUGUGAGGACUAUGACAUUAAUGUCAAGCAUCAUGGUGAACAAAGGGAAAUUCAUAGGCAAUAAAAUAUCUUUUAUCUAUCUACCUACAUGUGCUAUAGAAAAUUCUGCUGAAGAAGGCAGUAGGGAAUAUAUUUUUAAUUCCAUCUUAUAAAUAAUGUUAUAUUAUUUAGACUUACAAGAUAUCAGGAUCUUGCCUGUUUUAAAUUCCAUAUGUAGGAAUUCACCAAGAAUUUAAGCCUUCUUACCAGCAGUGCUUAUAACUAACAAUUCAUGAUGAUGAGCAUGAUGACCAUGUAAUUUAUUAACAAGGAUGGGACAGUUUUGAGUAUGGAUCCAGCACUGGUGGUACAGAUCAGUGGUUACCCUGGAAACAGAUAUUAAGAGGGACUAUCCUUGAGAGAAUCAAAAGUGGGGCCAGUGUUUGCCACAUAGGUGAGACUUUGUCUAAGAAAAAAAGAUGGGGCCAUUCUUGGAAACCCAGAAUAGGAGGGUCCUCUGUAAAAACUCCUGUGCUGGAACAAGCUUUGAUUCAAGAUCUGUGGGCUGGGAAUAUUUCAGAAUUCCAAUGGUUUGGAUUUAGAAAGAUGGUAAGGUACACAGACCAUGUGGAACACAGGACCCUCAGCUGUGUCUAGGACAGACCCUCAUAAUCCAGCACAAUAAUAUUCAGCAGCAAAGUUACACAUCUGCACUGACUAGGGCAAAAGAAAGCUAUGGUUAGCUUUAUGCCAACACAGGGCAGAUUGUACCGCCAGAAGAGUCGUGAUAGCAACUUCCAGGCUUCUGUACCCUUUGAAUUACAAAUAAGGACAGUGAAUCUCAAGUAAUUUCCAUCCUUGGGAAUAUAUAUAUAUAUAUAUAUAUAUAUAUAUGUAUAUAUAUAUGUAUACUAUAUAUACAUAUAUAUUAAAAUAUACUAGGCUUAAUUUAAUGAAUAAUUGCAUUUUUAAUUCUAAUAUACAAGAACUUAAUGCAAACUCUGUCCCUAUUAGAAAGUAGGAAAAUCUGUUUCCUGAAUAUUUUUACAAAAUUGAAUCAGAAGUAACCAUUUAAAUGAUCACUUCCUUUGAACAAGGUUUUCCUAGUCAUGUGAAUAAAAGUACCCUCUUUUAUUAACCUAAUGCAUGAAAUGUUUGUUUAUAAAAUAAGAAUUAAACAAGCUUCAAAAAUGUCCUAAAGCUUCUUUAUAAUGACAUUUGCUGUGCCCUUGUUUGUUCUCCUGUGAGCUUUAAUACGUAUUUGGGGCCAGCAAGAUGGCUCGGCAAGUUAAGGCACUCACUGCCAAGGCUAACGGGCCAAGUUUAAUUCCUAUAACCCACAUUGUGAGGGAGAGAACAGUCUCUGGAAAGCCGUGCUCUGAUCUCCACACUCACACCAGGGCACACUGUCUUAGUUGGUGUUCUACUGCUGUGAAGAGACACCGUGACCACAGCAACUCUUAUAAAACUAAUAUUUAAUUGAGGCUGGCUUACAGUUCAGAGGUUUAGUUCAUUAUCCUAAGGCAGGAAGCCUGGCACUGUUCAGGCAGACAUGGUGCUGGGGGAGCUGAAAGUUCUGCGUCUUGAUCCAAAGAAAGCCAGGAGGAGACUGGAUUCCACAUUGGGUGGAGUUUGAGCAUAAGAGCCUGCCCCCACAGUGACACAUUUGAUCCAACAAAUCCACACCUCCUAAUAGCGCUACUCCCCCUGGGCCAAGCAUUCAAAGAUGUGAGUCUAUGGGGAUCAUGCUUAUUCAAACCACCACACAUACACACACACACACACACACACACACACACACACACACAGACACACACACGCUCACACACACUCACACACACAGACAUGCACACAACAAGCAAAUAAGUAAGUAUAAAUGUUUUAUUCCAAAAGUUAUUCUAAAGGCAAUUUAUUAUAUAUUGGGUGCUAUGUCUGACGAAUUAGAUUGAGUUUAUUGUUUGUUUCUGUAUUUAUUGGGACAAGGUCCAUAUCCAUAUGCAAACUGGGAUCUGUGCUUCUGCUGGGAUAAGCCUCACCCCUAUGAUAAAACUAAACAUGGGUAAUGGGAUGGGUAAGAUUUAAAGCAUUUCUUAAAAUUCCUGGAAAGCCUACUGGCCAUAUGACUUUUCUCACUCAAUUCUGAUUGAAAGGAAAAGGACGUCGCAGUGAUGUGAGGACUGGAGACCUCAAAAGCACUUGUGUUGUGUGGCAGGCCUGAGCACACACCACUAAGGACGGAACAAAAACAGUAACACUGAAGAGAGUGGAGGGGAAGGGUCCCCAAGACUCCUUCUGAACAGGCCCAACACUUAAUUAUGCCUAAAUUGAACUGCAUAUAUGUAUAUAAAAAAGUUUAAAACUUUCUUCAAAAACAUGCUUUCCACAUUCCUCAGGUGACCGUGGGCCAGGGGAUGGUCAUGACAGCAGUGACCAGAGACUGCAUAUCUGCCAUUCAACUCAGCAUGGUUUCUCACUGAUGUCACCCUGUGAGGUCCCUACCAUUGCCACCUUGAUUCACAGAAGAUUCUGACUGUGCCUCAGUCUGUGUCACACCAGAUGCUCAAACACCUGAGUUCCAUUAGCAUAGUUGCUGGGUAACCAAAACUGAUCUUCAGCCUUCAGAGGUAGCAUUGCUAACAGGAAAUCCCCAGGGGACAAACUUUCACUACUUGUGCCCUUUGGGCCCUCAAACAUAAAGGUUGGGUUAGGGAGCUCUCUGGCAAUGCUCUCCCUGGGUCUGGUACCUGAACUCUAUCAUCUUCCCGAGCCCAUGUGUCACACAGAAGGAAUGCCACAUUGUUCAUUGGGUGCAACACAUUCGCUUUGUUUAGCUUGAAGGAAGGACAAUGAAAACUGCAAUCACCCACAAACACAGAUAGAACGAGAAGAUAGGCGAGCUGUCUGGGACUUUUUCUAAAAGAGGAAGUCUUGUAACCUCACAUAACCCCAGGGUUGUGCAGAUAAAAACAAACUUUUGUUUUCCAAUCCAUAACAACGAAUCCAGCAGCAAAGGGAGCUUGGCUUUAAAGCCUGAAUCCCACCGUGCCCUCUGCAGUGUCCAUCUAGAAAACAGGGUGAGCCAGGAGGUGAGCCAAGAGGGACCCAACACUCAUCCUGUCCAUUUGAGCUUCCAGGGUGAAGCAGGCAAGACCUGGAAGGAAGCCAUAGCACUGUCCCCUGCCUUUUGUGUCCUGGUGGCUGGCAGAAAAGAGGGAGUUUUGAAACACUGACCAGGGACUUGCUCUUCAAAGUGAUUUUCCACUCUUUCCAAAAGAUCGCUUUCCAAGUUAUAAUUUCCCUACAACCAGAGGUUUGCUGAAUUUUUUCGUUUUGGUUUUGGUUUUGGUUUGCUUUGUUUUGUUUGCAAUGUAUUUUUCCGUGUGUGUGUGUGUGUGUGUGUGUGUGUGUGUGUGUGUGUGUGUGUGUUUGUUUGUACGCACACACAUGCAUGUGCACACAUUGGAAAACACACAAGAGGAUACCUGGGCUUGCUGGCUACUUAGUCUAGCCUAAUGAAGGAGCCAGCCAAUGAGAGACCCUGUCUCAAAAUCCAAAUUCUUUCCCAGUCAGGGAAGCCUCUUUUCUGGGGUAAGGGUUCCGAGAUUAAGGACACCUCUGAACUUAGAUUUGGUUCUUAGAACCCAUGUGGCAAGUCACAACUGUCUAUAACUCUAAUUCUAGGUUAUCCGGUGCCACCUCUGAUCUCCAUGGGCACUGUGCACACAUGGUUCCCAUGCAUGCACACAGUCAAACACUUAUAUACGUACAAUAAAAAUAAACAAAUCCUUAAAAUUAUGUUGUAGGGCACCUGAACAAUGAUACUAAGAUUGUCCUCUGGUCUAAACACACACACACACACACACACACACACACACACACACACACACACACACGGGGGGAUAUUAAAAUACUUUACAUCUCACAUGUAUUAUGGAUUAUAAAAAUAGGUACAAAUUUUCCAGAUGGAAACUCGGCAAUAAGCAAAAAAAGUUUUAAAUGGUCCUAUGAAGCUCAGUGAUGUCAUUUCCAAGGAUGUUUCUCAAGUAAUUUAGUCGUGAGAGAAACCUGUUUUCUUUUUUAAAAAAAAAAUCUAUCAUUGAAUUUGUUGCAGAUACAAAUGUAAAUAAUUUUGCAGACCUAAAGAGGUUUUUAAAAACAAACAAACAAAGCUGUGUGGCAUUGGACAAAAUAAAUUAUUGUCCAGAUACAACUAAAUUAUAACUUUUUUAUUUUAUUCCAUCAGUUUUUAAAAUAAUUGUUUUCUAGAACGAUUCUAUACCUGGCUUUGGGGAACGUUAAAGCCAUGCUGGGGGAAGCACGUGUGCUUGGCCCCCAGACCCAGCACUGGAUGACAUCAGUUUGGGCAAAGCAAGAACCACGGCCAGACUUCCAAGCAUAUGGGUUCAUGCUCUGCUGCCUUCUCACAUAGUUUCUCCACAUGAAAAAUGAGGAGAAAGAGACCCUAAUUUUCCCAGAAUCAGCAUCUCCUCCGAACAUUCAGAGUUUACAGAACAGGAGACAGAAAACGAGGUCUGAAACACAGUUUCUUGUUGAAAGGAGUUGAAAGGCGGGCACUCGAGACCUCUCUUUCCCUUCUGAGAUGAAGGUGUUUUGGCAUCCACAAGCCCAGAUAGGACUGCUUUGACUUCAUGCACACCCGAAAAAUAGCAAGAUGCUCUUCAGCUCUCAGGGAGGCUGCACCCCAAUGAGUCCAGAGAGCUGAAAAUGCUCUGUUGUCACACCUAAGGUUUGCACCACAGUUCAGCCACAGAGCGUAUUGCUAACCUGUGCGCCACAGUUCAGCAAGCUGCAGAAUGCUGACAGACCUUCGUGUGGUCCCGUAGCCAGCUAAAUAGGAGCUGUGGUUCGCUGCACUGCCUACGAUCAUGAGGAAAUAGACUGAUGAGUAUCACUAUUAGGUCAACAAAUCAUAAACCCAAACCAUCAUAAAUCGUGGGCAGGCUAUAUACGGGGAAAAUAAAUUAAGACGGGGCAGGAUGGCGCUGGACAGAUGGUUCAGAAGUCAAAAGCAGUAACUGCUCUUCCAGAGGUUCCAGGUUCCGUUCCCAACACCCAGAUCACAGCUCAGAGCCAUCUGUAACUCUCCAGUCCCAGGAGAGCCAACACAUUCUUCUAGCCGUCUUUCCUAGGCAUGCAGGUUGUACAAAGACACACGUGCAUACAAAACACCUGUAUUAUACAUACAUAUUAUACGUAUUAUACAUAGAAAUAAGGAAGGAAGGGCGGCCAUGAACUCAGGUUGAGAAAGGCAGCAUGGCAGUAUAUAGGCAGAAUCAAAAUGAUCUGAGCUGUUCCGGACCCACGUCCUUCUUUACGUUAACAGAUCUACAAAGAGGUCUGUUUAGGGCUCCAGCUAUACCUCAGUGUAGAGCCAUUGCCUAGCGUCCAUGAGGCCUUGGGUUCAGUUCCUGGUAUCACAAAGAAGAAGAAAACAAGAAUAGCAGAAGGUAGAGAGGUAGCUCAGCAGUUACGGGCACUGUCUGCUCUUGCAAAGGGCCCAGGUUCAAUUCCCAGAACCCACCUGGCUGCUUACAGCCAUUUGUAAUUCCAGAGGAUGCAACACACUCUUCUAGCCUUCUCUGGCACGAGCCUUGCAUGUGGUGCAGGCAAACCACCUACACACAUUAGAAAGAAAUGAAGAGGGAAGAGGGUAUAUUUUGAGGGGAGCCAUCUUCGACACUAAUAUGUUCAGUACAUUGGUUAGCAAAGCCAAAGAACAGGAUGCUUAGAGGGGCCACUGAAACCUACCAAAACUUUGCAAAACCUUCAAUUUGUUCACUGCCAUCUUUUUUUUUCAUGCCUAUUGCUUGCAGAAUGCAGUGAAAAACAAGAUGGCUUCCCAAACACAGAGAAACACCUGCUGUAGGAAAGUUUGCUGCUGCACUGCCUCCCUGUGAGAUUAAAUGGUUCUCUUCUUCACCUCAUAUUCAUGACCUUCUUGACAGAAUUCCUCCAAAGGUUUUCUUUAUGCUUCCCUUCUUCUAGUAAUCACUCAAUAAAGGGCACUCACUUAUUGUUAAUUUCAUCUUCAUCAUCAUCAUCAUCAUCACCACCACCACCACCACCAUCAUCAUCAUCAUCACAUCUAACACAGUGCCUUAUGUUCAGAUAAAGUUUGCCUCCAAAAUACAAAUGUGAACUAUGAACUUAGGCACUGAGUUUUCAGAGUUUGCAUCUAUUCUUGGGAGAAACCAUCAUCACCAAUGAAUUCCAAUGGUAAAGAGCUAAAAUUGCUCCCUCUUCCAGGUACAAGAAUCUGUCUUGAUGCAGGGACACACUUCGUCCCUGUAAGCAGGAGGAGUGCUGUGGCACACUGUUAAAUGACACUCACUGUCUCCCCAUUUCCAAACAGUUGCCAAAAGUCAAAGCUCGUGUGCAUUGCAUAGCUGCCAAGUUCUCCUCUGAGGCAAAACCACAGUGAGGCUCGCAGGAUGCCUCGGUGGGCAAAGGCACUCACCUGCUGCCAAGCCUGACGACCCAAGUUCAAUCCCUGAGACCCAGGGGAUUUGGCGAUCCCAAGCGUCUUUUGACCUCUGCACAUGCAGUGUGGCGUGUGCUCCCCACUCCCAUACACACAAUAAAUAGGUAAACCUUUGAAAGCUUUUUUAAUCCACAGCAGUUCCCUUCUUUCGCCUUAUUAAAAUCUAACACGGUAGAAAUAUCUCAGGUUCGGUGUCAAGCACACCUAGAUUUGAAUGUUACCCACAUAGAGCCUGAUAGAAUGUCUAUCAUCCACACUCAUAACCAAAAUCCUAAUAGAGCCAUGCAGAACUACUGUGAGACUGCACUGGUCUCCUCUAGAUUUCUCCAAAGAGGCAUCAAAUGACAAGGCAAGCUCUACUUAACAGAGAAGACAGAUACAGACUCCCCAGAGAGAACCCAAAGGCAUCCAUGGGAUAGACGCAUAUCCCCUGCCCUGAACAGGGUUGACCCGAUGAAUGCCCCCAAUACCUCCUUGCUCAAAAUCUAUGACUAACUCCACAAUGUGGAUCAAACGCCUCACUCCAGCCUCUGCAAUACACCUCCAUUCCACCUUCCCAACCCUUUCUUCCUCUGACUCCUCCCACCUAAUGACACCAACAUUCACACCACAGACCGGAAGACAGGCUUAUCACUGUACAAAGUCCUUAUGCAAGCAAGCGUCUUACCUUACAUACUAUUGCACACCCUUUCAGCUUAUCAGGAAUAGCACUUUGUGCAUAAUGAUAUCUACCGAUUAGUAAUCAAUAAGGAAGUAGAUGAGUCCCCUUUGGAGAGCAGAUGGGACAGGGAGGGGAAGGUCUAUUAACAUAUCGUCCCUGUGUUGUGAUAAUUCACCAAGUAUGGGCGAUAAGGAAAGAAAUGAUUGCACAGAAGCACAAAGGCUAAAACACUGAACCAACUUACUAUUUUCACAUCAUCCGGGGAAUUCAGUCUAAGCAUAUUAACAAGCUUUUAAAUUUAUUUAACAUUUCAUUUUUUUAAAAAAAGCCUUCAUUGACUCAUGCACCAUGAAGAGCAAAUAUAAGGCAUCAAGCAUUAGGAAGAGCUCUGUGAAAGACCCAAAGAUGGCUCAGACACGGUACCCAAAGGAGGUACCGUGCAGUGAAAGAGUCAGGCACAUCCAAGUAAAGACAAGUCAUGAUGCCCCAAAGGUGCCACAAGCGAAGCCUACUGGGGAUGCUGGAGUAGCGCGGAUCCCUCUCCUGCUACAAUGCCUUCCCAGUGUGGGCCUCUAACGCAGCAGUCCAGCAAAGCUCUACAUCACACUCACCUCCACCAUUGUACCGGCAUCUCACAGACUGACACCCUGUGUCAUCCAUAGGUGGAGUGUCUGGUAACGGUGGAGAGACCUCUGCUUUCUUACCUAACAGCUCAGAAAAAAUGGAGGCCAGAAGGUUUCAAAGAAGAGGAGACAUCUGAACUAAGCCUGAAAGAUAGAUGAUCCUUGGGCAAAAAAAGAAGGGGAAACUAUUCCAGAAAAAGAUAAGAAGGGAGAAAGACAAGAGUACGGAGGCGUAUGGGUGCAUUUGAACCAUUAUUAAUAAGAGAAGUGUUGGCAGAUGUUGGAGAAAUGGCUGCAAGCCUUGAUGUUGGGCAUGGCUACUCAAGAGAGCCUCUGGCCCUGGUGCCUUAUAGGGGUCCUUAUGAGCUGGGGGGUAGAGACUCCCAAUUCAGAGCACACAGAGAUAGAUGUGACUGGCAUGCUUUUCUACCCCACUGUCCGCUCUGUGUCUCUUUCCAGGAAGCAUAAGCCAUGGCCUCUAUUAUCUCUAACCUAAAAUGGGCAGGCAAUAAGAACUGGAGAACUAAUCAACCAUCACUGUUGUCAUUUACGGACUGUCUCUAGGCAAGCCACUUUGCUCUGCCCUGUGAAAAGCACUCCACUGCCCUCCAGAAUGCAUAACUGGUUCCAAAAGGCAGUUAUUUUUAAUUGAGUAUAGAAGAAAAUAAAUUGAAAUAAGCCCCAUAAACAGGUAAGGUCUCUAAGUAAGAGCUUCACAUCUUAUUCCUGCAAGGAAGAGUUUAGCAAACGUCUAAUAAAUGCCCUUGUGGCAGCCUAUCAAGCUCGGUGUUCUGACCACCACAGCCAGGGGCAAUGCUGCAAGAGUGCAUAGGAAGAAGUCUCAACCACACAACCGCCAACACAAGGGGCUUCCUCCAGUCCGGAGUUUAAUCCCUAAACUGAGGUGUGCCACCUGAGGAAGGAGGCCUCAUGCAGAGCAACAGCUAGGAGGAAUGGCCAAAUGACUCCCCUAAACAAAGAAAGCCCCACCCUACACAAGAUUGCCCUGCCAAGGCCUGCACUGCUGUUCUUCACCCACUCUGACCUUAUGCAAACUUGAGACUUUACCCUUAUCUUGCAUUGAGGAUUACAAAGCCACUCAGAAUCACUUCACUUUUUAGUGAAUCAAUUCAAAACAAAAGAGAGCACGAGAAAUAUUUUCCACCUUCGUAUCACUUCCCCUUAGAAACAAACAAAGCAGUCAAGCUGGGGUGUUCUUCAGGGAGGGUACUUGCCAAGCAUGUACAAAGCUUCUGGUUUUAUUCCCAACAUUAUGAGAGAAGGAGGGAGGGAGGGAGGGAGGGAGGGAGGGAGGGAGGGAGGGAGGGAGGGAGGGAGGGACUCAAUCUGCAGGAUGAGCCUGGUUACUAACACAGACAGCACCCAGUCGGUUUUGCACUGCCCGUCAAGUCUGUGGCCAACACACACACCCUUUUAUUGCUUCUCACACAUCCCAGGUGCAGAGUUCUGACGACUUAACAACAGCCAUUAUCUUCUGAAACAUAAAAGGGAAACAUAUUCCAAAGCCUUGGUAAUAUUCUCUCAUAGAAAGAAGGAAGGAAGGAAGGAAAGAAAGAAAGAAGGGAGGGAGGGAGGGAGGGAGGGAGGGAGGGAGGGAGGGAGGGAGGGAGGGAAAGAAGGAAGAAAGGGAAGAAAGAAGAAAAGAAAAACUUUGUUCUAACACCAGAUAAGACCUUUCCUAACUGGGGAAGUAGAAAGUUGGCAUAUCACUCACACGCAUGUGCUGGCACACCUAUGUUCUAGCAUAGCAUCACUCACACAUAUGUGCUGGCACAAGUAUGUGCUGGCAUGGAAUCACUCACACAUAUGUGCUGGCAUGGCAACAUUCACAUGUAUGUGCUGGCAUGGCAACAUUCACAUGUAUGUGCUGGCAUGGCAUCACGUAUGUGCUGCCAAGCACAGACCGUGACAGCCCCGCUGACUCGUCUGCUCAGCCACACUGGAUAGCUCUCCAGGCUCCAGCUGCAAAAGGAACUUACAGCCUAACCUGUCUUCUCUUUCUCUUCUGUUCUGCCAACCACAAUUGCCCGGCUUGCCCGUUGGUUACCAACUGACAUUGUCUCUCUCCUCCCAGAGUUGAAUAAAGCCCACUCUUAUGAUCUCAUCUCCCCUCUCAUCCCUCAGGUAGCUUUAUACUUGAUAUGCUUCUCUGAUGCUCAUACGUCUUCAUUUUCUUCUUUGUCACCCCAGAUGGUUGCACCUGCUUUCUCCAUCGCUAAACUGUAAGAUCUUGGAGAACGUGGCUUGGAAUUUCUCGGCUCUGCGUCUUCAUAGAGCAGUGCUUCACAUACAGCUGCUUGAAAACAUCUGCUGAAGGAAUUGACUCCCGCGAGAGUUUUCUUUACACUUGUUUGCAGAGUCGUCUUCAGCUUAAUUUCAUCCCUGUCAUGUCCACUGGCACAGUACUUACAGUUAAUUUUAGGGAUUCUUGGGGGCGGGGAGAGGUUUCGCCCUGGGGCUGAAGAAAUGGCUAUUCAGAGCACUGGCGGCUUUUGCAGAGGGCCUGAGUUUGGUUCCCAGCACCCACACUGUAGCCCACAGCCAUCUAUAACUCCACUUCCUGGAGGUCUGAUACCCACUCCUGACCUCCAUGGGCAUGGCAUGCACUUAGUACACAGGUGUGGGCACAUGCUCAUGAAUAAAAAUAAAUUCGUAUCCUUAAAACGGGGGUGGGGGAAUAAAAAGCUCUGUGAUUUCUUUUACUACCCCCCCUUAUGUCAGAUGCAACAUCAGGCGUCUUUCCCCAUACUUAAAAUUCACUGGAUUAUCAUCUGCAUUAACUGGUCAGGCUGUGUCAUUGAAUAAAAUCAAUGAAUGAAUGAAGUAAAA